rnacentral:rRNA from 1 species
CUCGGCAGUCUACCUGCAGUCGACGGCAGCACGGACUUCGGUCUGGUGGCGAGUGGCGAACGGGUGAGUAAUGUAUCGGAACGUGCCCAGUAGCGGGGGAUAACUACGCGAAAGCGUAGCUAAUACCGCAUACGCCCUACGGGGGAAAGCAGGGGAUCGCAAGACCUUGCACUAUUGGAGCGGCCGAUAUCGGAUUAUCUAGUUGGUGGGGUAACGGCUCACCAAGGCGACGAUCCGUAUCUGGUUUGAGAGGACGACCAGCCACACUGGGACUGAGACACGGCCCAGACUCCUACGGGAGGCAGCAGUGGGGAAUUUUGGACAAUGGGGGAAACCCUGAUCCAGCCAUCCCGCGUGUGCGAUGAAGGCCUUCGGGUUGUAAAGCACUUUUGGCAGGAAAGAAACGUCGCGGGUUAAUACCCCGCGAAACUGACGGUACCUGCAGAAUAAGCACCGGCUAACUACGUGCCAGCAGCCGCGGUAAUACGUAGGGUGCAAGCGUUAAUCGGAAUUACUGGGCGUAAAGCGUGCGCAGGCGGUUCGGAAAGAAAGAUGUGAAAUCCCAGAGCUUAACUUUGGAACUGCAUUUUUAACUACCGGGCUAGAGUGUGUCAUAGGGAGGUGGAAUUCCGCGUGUAGCAGUGAAAUGCGUAGAUAUGCGGAGGAACACCGAUGGCGAACGCAGCCUCCUGGGGAUAACACUGACGCUCAUGCACGAAAGCGUGGGGUAGCAAACAGGGAUUAGAUACCCCUGGAUAGUCCACGCCCUACACGAUGUCAACUAGCUGAUGGGGGCGUCGGGUCUUGGCUAGCGCAGGCUAACGACGCUGAAAGCCUGACCGGCCCUGGGGGAGGUAG